rnacentral:misc_RNA from 1 species
AAGUCGUAACAAGGUUUCCGUAGGUGAACCUGCGGAAGGAUCAUUCAUAAUUGAGUGUUUUAUGGCACUCUUUAAAAAAUCCAUAUCCACCUUGUGUGCAACGUUUUUAGACACCCUGGCGCUGAUAUCUCUUUUAAGAGAAGGAAAGCCAGGAUGUUUGAUUAACUUAACUCAACUCCUUUAAAACAGUUUGUCUGAAUACCUAUUUCUGAAUAACAUAAUUCAAAAAUACAACUUUCAACAACGGAUCUCUUGGCUCUC